CAGCCAGGGCACCAGCUCAGAACCGGAAUGCUUUACCCUAGUUUUCGUUUUCUUUUUUUCACUAAACUGACCAACCCCCCUCCAGUUUCUGGACCUGUGGAGUGGAUGCGUUUUUCUUCAGGGUUUGCAUUAUUUCUUCGAGAAUUGUGCCGCUGGCAGAAAGACCACACAGCUCUGCUCCUGCCCUGUGUAUGUGGGCUGUAGCAGACUGACAGGAGGCUCGCAGGGAAAGGCCACUAAAGCCUCAGAGCGGCCAAAAUCACUGCAGUGUUUUGAACAACGGAACAGGCUUUCUUUGGAAAUGAAACUAAUCCUUAAAACUCACCAACCGUGGAUUAGCAUGGCAAGGAGACGACGGAUUGUCUUCAUCUGGGACAGGAAGAGGAGCCACUGUGGUUAUGAGUAAUGUGCCUGCUACAGUAUUUCAUUUUCUUGCUAUGUAACUAUUUAAAUCAUGUUAGGGAAAUAAAAAAGUCUUUGAAGCUGCAUGUUAACCCCUAGGCUCUAUGAUAUGAGUAAAUCUCAUUUUAAAUUUUAAAGUGUCUAAAUGUCCAAAUAAAAUACAGGAAAACAAACUGAAGCGAGAAAAGAAUUAAAGCAAGAAAGAUAUUUUCUCUCGUUGUAGCUGAUUUCUUUGUUUCUCUACCAAGUGGAGAAAUCACACUAAGAAUCCAAAAGUGACGAUGAUCUAAAAACUAUAUUUGGGAUAUUUUUGUCCUUACAUGUUAAUGUGUACCCAAAGUUCUGUGCGAAAUGUCCCUUGUUACCAAUGACGAAGCCUUUCCACAAAGGCAGGGGAGAAGGGGAAGGGGGAAACACAGUUCCCUGUCGUCCUGACUUGCUCCGAACACUCCCUGGUCAACGCCCAGGAGACAACAUCUCCUUUCAGAGGGACACUAACCAAGCAGAACCAGCUGACCUCACUCUCCUCUCUUGCAAACAUUUCCACCCCAGUUUCAGAGGAAAAGGAAUCGGCAGACGAGAGAGGCCAACGAGAAACUAAUGAAACCGCGAGGCCAGAGAGGAGAGGCGGAAAAGCAAGAUUCGCUCCAGGUAUUGCGUGACACGGUGGACGUGUCACAGGAUACAGGCUAGUGGAACCUGCCACUGGUCACUGUGAAGACAGCAGCUCCUCCUGAAGUGAGGACAGUGUUCUCUUCAAUCCCAGAAGUUUCUCAUCUUCCUUCUGGAGAUGAAAAGAACAAGAAUAUCUAAAUUUCAUAAUUGAAGACUUCCAAGAUACACAAUGGCUGAACAAGCUUAGGUGACUGAAUAAUUAAAAAAGAGGUGUCUGCCAUCAUCUGUGAGGCUGGUUCCAGAAUUCCUUGAGGAUACCCAGCUCCACCAAGCUUAUAUAAAAGGAUGGAGUGUGUGUAAUCCAUAUACACACCAUGCUAUAUAUUUGAAGUCACUGUCUAGCUCACUUGCAAUCCCUAAUACAAGCAAUUAUGUAA